AUAUAUCCCUAUAUGCAUGUAUGUAUGUGUAUAUGUAUAUAUAUACAUACUCAUACAUAUAUACACAGGUUUCGUAUACAUAGAGGAUACAAAGUGUUCGCGUGGCCACGGUUAGUUUCUUUUCGCCAGAGUGUCGUCGCUCGAGAGGUGCAUAAGUGUAUAUAUGUACACGUACAUAUAUACACGUGGAAAGAAACGGCAAAGAGAGAGAGAGAAAAAGAGAAAGAGAAGAACAGGGGUUAAACGGAAAGAACUCGUGUCGUCCGCUCGUGUGAUACCUCGAUCGCGGUGGGUGUCGCGAAUGACUAUGCUCUGUCCAAAAGGUGUGCGAGAGUACGCCGCGCGUGUGGGUGCUUCCCCUACCACAGCGCCACCACCACUAUCGCGAUUUCCACCACCAUCGCGCUAGGCUCCUGGCACCACCACCACGGAACCAGUGUGCACCACUGAACGCGGCGGGUAUACACCAGUAUCAGAGAGUGGCAACAAUGAUCUAACGCGAUGGAAACGGAGGGCAUAGAAUGUCGUGAUUAUUUUGCGAAAGUGUUCAGCAACAAAGAGGAAUUCCCAGAUAAAGAGAUAAGUAUCCAUGGGAAUACAUCAAUGAGCCGAGCGUAAUGUCGUGAAUGGAGGCGCGAUCGUGGUGGUUUCCAUUCGGUUCUCGUUGAUUCAUGACACGCGUUGAAAUGACGUAGACGUUAAAUGCGUUCGACGCGCGUACGAUGCAAAUCCGCACGUACACCCGUCGCAUACGUAAAAAAACUGCUAGUUACACAUAAUCUAUAUCUACGAAUCUUACGAAUCAAUCAGCAAAGUGUAAUUCGCGAUUUAUUUCAGUGUCAUCCCUUGCGAGUACGUCUUACGUUCUCCUUCCCAAAAAUUACAACACGGGGCAUACCACGAUUCGAUGUGUUGCUCCCCCGAAUCUCGUUCGAAAUCUAAAAAUAGAAUGGCGAAGGGUGUUCUCGAAAGGAAUACGGUUUCUUUUUCGUUCUUUAUUCGGCAGUUCGAACACCAAAGAUCGACCGGAUACAGAUUCGAAACCACCGGCAAGAACGGAGAGAACGAAAGGAAAAAAAAGAAACGAAGGGGAGAGAAAGAGGAAGGAGAAGAAAAGAUUCACGGAGGAGUGUUGUAUUCUCCACCUCGCCGGGUCUUGUGUUCCACCGACGGGACCAGCAGCGGCAAACUCGUUACGAAAUAGUCCCUAAGACGGGGUGACUAAUUGCUAAGCGGCUUGUAAAAAUUCGCAGGACAGUCUGUCGACAUCGUGGCGCGGCCGUCUCAUCGUCGCGCCGUUAUACUUUUUGCCCAUGCACGGUCGACUAGAGAAGAGAACAACUUGUAAGAGGGAGAGGGAUCGAGCGAUGGGGAAAAGUGGUGGGAACGACAAAGAUAGAGAGGGGGCUGCGGUGACGACGGAGCGCGAAGGGGGUGUGGUGGGGGGGUGGGGCGCGCAAUGGGAGUGGUAGGGGGAACCGGCGAGAGAAGCGUGAGCGUGUGAGGCCUUAAGGUGAGAAAAGAAAAAUGGCGAAGAGAGGCCGAGGCUGCGUCGUCUCGCGUUCGAAGGCGAGAGGGGACGACGCUUUCGCAGAUUCCACGUGAGAUACCUGCGGCAUUCUUCGUUCUGCAGCAGGGCAUUAAGCCGGAUGCACAUUCGUCGUGGACGACGCUCGGUGAAUUCAUUUCCAGGAAAAAUAUCUUCCGCCACGAAACGAAUUUUACGGCAGAUUUUGUUCGCGAACAGACCGCCGGAGAGCGGUUUCUUUCUUUCUCUCCCCUGUACUAUUUUUCUCCUUCUAUCCUUGUUCCUCUUGAUGCGUGAAACGGAGGACACGGAGACGCGUGAUGUUUUUAUUAUUAUUUUUCUUGUCGUUUUUCGAGGACCGCCUCGGAACCGAGCUACGGCAAUAAAACAUCUAAUCCGACGAUAAACCGCGCAGUGAUUCUUCCCCGCGACGACGUUUACGCGUCUCUGACACGUUUCGUGCGCGCCGCUGAUGCGCACCGAAUCGAAGGUAAUCCCUCGCGCGCUUGCAUCUCUCGCGUCUGAUUGGUUGACACUUGACUUCGGACCAUGAGAUGGUUAAGGAAAAGCUUGCGAUUCGGGUCGCCUUUAUUUCCUAAUUUCUUCAUUUUCUAAUUACUUUAUUUGUAUUACAGAAACAAAAAAAUUAAAAAAAAAAAAAUAGAAACGUGGAACAUAGAAAAAUUAAAAAUCUUCACAUUUUCAAAGAUAUGUAUAAAAAAGGAUGUUUUAAGAAAAUCAUUACGUGAUACAAAGAAGGAUUGUAAUACUCGCAAAGAAUUUCCUAUUUUGCAAAUAAUUAUCGAAGAUGAUUCACGAAGAAUCGUGUCAUUGUCAACAAGAAUACUCGAGCUGAUUACAUCAUACACGCAUAGGAAUUAAUUUUGUAGCUCUCCAUUAUAUCUUGAAUGUUUUUCGGUAGCCACUUCGUUAAAUAGACACAUCGACUUCGACCCUGAUACGAUCCUCGAAAUAAAACUGUAAGGUGCAACUAAUACUAUAAAGAUUUAUAUUCGUCAUCUUUACAUCUAAUCUAAUACACCGAUGCCUGCAUUAAAACCAAAAAGUGCAACAUUUAACCUAACCUAUCAAAAUUUUUAUCACUAUUUUCUAUCUCUACUAUUUCAUUCGUGAUUUACCGUAAAAAUUGUUCAUUUUAAAAUCGAAAGACAACAAGAAAGAUACGAAGAAAGUUUUUGCCAGUAUCAGCGAAGAAAUUUAAUGUACGAUGGAAUAAAAAUAGUGCGAAUUGAGAUUCCGAUCGAGGCGCAGUCGAAGAUCAAAACCACAGAUAGCGAGGAGAAAAGACAGGCGAUGCUGGAGUGCCAGUGGCGCACAAAAGGACACGAAAUGAUUUAUUUCAAUGCCCUAUCGUGGCCGGCUGGAGCGUAUCGCCCACGGUGGCGUUCGAGAGAGGAUCAUUUGCGCGGGACCACACGCCGAAUGAAACAAGAAGAAGUUCAAUUACUUCGUGGAAUCAUCGAAGAUUCCUUUGCGGCGUUUUUAAUCGAAUUCUGGAUUUGUCAAAUUUUUAGAAAUUAGAAUAUGAAAGAGCAAUUAAAAAAGACAAGUGCAUCAGUAUUAUAGGAAAAGUGAUCAUAAGGUUGAUAAAACAGAUAAAUAUGGAGACGGUACAAGACAAAAACGCGUGAUAAAGAUAGAAGAGAUAAAAGAAAUGAUGAGAAAGAGAUACAGAGGUAAAAUGAUAAAGAAAAAGGGAAAAGAUGAGAGGAUGAUAAAUGAGAUCAAACUAAAGAAGAUGAUUAAAAAAUGAUAAAAUUCACAGCUACAGAAUUGACGGAGCGUGGAGAAAAGAUGAACAACGACAGACGAAAAUGAUGAAGAUGGGAAGAGAAAAGAAACAGAAAACAAGAUAGAAAAAAGAUGGAAGAAGGAGAAAAAUAGAUAGGUGUAAAAGGAUCACCUGACCGACAACUAUUCACAGCAUACGGCUAUGACAAAUCUAAUAGAUUCCUUGGCGACUUCGGGUGACCCACAAGAAGAACCACAAGAUGCAACGAGAACAAGAAAAAGGUAUGAACGUGUAAGAGAGAAGAGUAUUUCUAUUCAACGCUCGAUGAACGGAUGUAACGUUUCGUAGUUCGUAGACCCUUCUGCUGUCUGUUCUAACAAUGAUAUCCCUUUUCGUAACCGGGUAUGGACGAGGACCGAGAAAUAAGGUUAAGUCCCGCCGGUGCUCACCUAUAACGCGCUGGAGACACACAAUGCUCAUUGUCAACUCGUCGUGGAAUGUGGGGAGCGAGGUAUGUAUUGUCGGUACACGCCAAAUGUAGAUGCCUCUUUUCGACUGGUAACAACAUUCACGUUGAACACUAUUUGAUCCUUUCCGCUUUUGCCACUGUUAUGGCUUAUCUUUUUUUAUCGUGGAUAGGUUAUAUCAAUGCACACGUUUGAAAGCAAAAAUGUUUGUGCGUAUGAUAAACAAAUUAAUUUUGAUAGAUUUUUGUAGAUGUUAUAGAUUAUAGGAUCAUGAAUCAUAGAAGUAUUUUUAUGGAUUAUAUUUAUUAUAACUAUGGAUUAUAUUUACUAGUAGUAACUAUACUACUGGACUUUGCAAUUACUUUCCAUUUUUGAAGAGUGUCAUAAGAAGGUUGAAACAAAUGGAAAGAAUUAUUUUUACAAAAUUUGGAAUUGUUUAUAGAGAGUAAAAUAAUGAUAAUAGUAAUAGUAAACUAGUUACCAAAAUAUCAAAUUCAUUAGGUUUGCCAAGUUAAAGGUAUGUGUUGAAAGAGAAAGCUCUAAAUAUUCAAUAUUAAAGUAAAUAUCCAAAAGGGAGCAUAAUAUUAAUGGACAAAGUUUCAUGACAUCAAUAAGGGGUCUUCACAAAAUGCACGAGGCGAAAUUAAUAUGACAUUAAUACUCUUGCGCCUUUGCUGAAGGCUCAGUAGGCGAGCCAGAUCGGCUACACGAUCGAUAUUUUAUUGGACACUGACUGAGAAGUAUAAAACACCAUUUAGAUUCAGUGGACUCUAUGUACACGUGAAGCAAUGCACGUUUAUACAUCGAAUAAAAUGUUUCUGUGAGAUUAGCUAUGUUACGAAAGCGAUCAAUUCCAAAGCCUGUUGCCUGUUCCUCCUUUCUAACCUAUCCGCCAAUGUAAUUUCAUAAGGAGUAUGCUUUAUGCAUUUUUAAGCGAUGUUACGAGUCUUUGAAAAUUCCAAACACUAUGAAAAGCGAUACGCACGAAUGGGAGAAAAGAAAAUGAACCGGUCAGACCAAGGAUACUGUUAUACUACUGAACAAAUAGAGCACUACUACUAUUUCAAUUAUAUUUCAUUUACUAUUGUAAAAUACAAGAAUUAAUGGUUAGGAAAGUAUUUUAGAUGAUGUUUAAAGCAUGUUUUUAGUGGAAAGCUAUUUAGAAUUGGAGAUUUAUAUGGCUGAUAAAUAGUAAUUUCUAUAUUUUAUAGGUUAUGGUUUGCACCAAGUUUGAAUAUACAUAAGUAGUUUCAAUGACAUAGGAAAGUCUCAACGAUGAUCAAAUAUCAGAGUUUAUAUAUAUUCUCUAGGGAAACAGACUCCUGAGAACAGAAAUGCCUAUAACACCAAUUAAGGAUAACAGUUUACUUAUAAUUAAUAAUAAUAAAAAAUAAUGGCUAAAUGUAAUACGUAAAAUUAGUCCAUGUAAAAAGUUUAAUCUCAGCAGUUGGUAUACAUGCUUUGCUGCUUUCAAUUGUUUCGUCAUUUCGUUGAUCACGUGGAAGUAAAUAUGGUUCGUGACAAGUUAAAAAAUUCUUUUCUCUUUUACAAGUUUAAACUUGGAUAUAGAGCAGCAAAUGUAGCAAAACGCAUUUAUAAUGUAUGUAGACAAGGUGCUGUUGCAUUUCAACAUCUGUUUCGUAAGUUUGAACGCAUAUACUCAUUCAAUUUCUCAUUUUCGAUGACAAAUGGACUUUGUGAACUUGGCUCGUCAUCUAACGAUACAUUUCCUUCUUUGAACCGUUUAAACCAUUUUUGUGCUGUCUUCUCGCUAACAACACCUUCCCUACGUAUACUACAAAUGCAUCUUGCUACAUUUGCUGCUGUAUAUCCAAAUCUAAACACGUAAAAGAAGAAAGAACGAAUUUCUAACUGCUAGCUAUCUAUGUUUACUGCCACGCGACAACGACAUGUCAAAACAAUUGAAAACAGCAAAGCAUGUAUACCAACUACGAAGAUUAAACUUUCCACUGAAACCAAUUUCAUACAUUACAUUGAUCAAUUACUGCACGAAAUUCGAUUUGUUGUUAUUAUUAACGAAUAAACCCCACGACCUUUUUUCGAUACUUAAUAAAAUUAUAAUAAAAUGAAUAUAAUUUUAUAUUUGCUAGCUAUUUGGUAUACUUACUGUAUUCUAUUUCUUUGAGAUUCUAAUUUAGAAUUUAAUUUUUUAGACUGAAGAUUAAAAAGGAAACACCCAACAGAUUUCACAAAGGACAUAACCUAACAUACAAACACUCAUCACACUAAAGAAAUAAAUCAAUCAAAUUCGAAGAUGGUAUCCCACUGUGGGUAGCCAUCCACAUGUUAUAUUAUUACACCACUAAGCUAUAAUAUUUUACCAAAUGUCCUACUGGACAAAUUGUAAAAUGUAAAUAAAUAAAUAAAUAAAAAAAAAAUUUUUUUUUAGA